rnacentral:rRNA from 1 species
UACGGAGGAUCCGAGCGUUAUCCGGAUUUAUUGGGUUUAAAAGGGUGCGUAGGUGGAUUGGUAAGUCAGUGGUGAAAGUUUGCAGCUUAACUGUAAAAGUGCCUUCGAAACUGGUUCCUUGGAGUGUAGAUGAAGUAGGCGGAAUUUGUGGUGUAGCGGUGAAAUGCAUAGAUAUCACGAGGAACUCCGAUUGCGCAGGCAGCUUACUAAACUACUACUGACGCUCAGGCACGAAGGCGUGGGGAAUCAAACAGGAUUAGAUACCCCGGUAGUCCCU